rnacentral:rRNA from 1 species
AGCAGCCGCGGUAAUUCCAGCCCCAAUAGCGUAUAUUAAAGUUGUUGCAGUUAAAAAGCUCGUAGUUGAAUUUCGGGGUUAGUAGGUUGGUCGUGCCUAUGGUAUGUACUGGCUUUACUGAUUCCUCCUUCUUGAAGAACUGUAAUGUCAUUAAUUUGGUGUUGCAGGGACACAGGACUGUUACUUUGAAAAAAUUAGAGUGUUUAAAGCAGGCUAACGCUUGAAUACAUUAGCAUGGAAUAAUGAAAUAGGACGUUUGAUCCUAUUUUGUUGGUUUCUAGGAUUGACGUAAUGAUUAAUAGGGAUAGUUGGGGGCAUUAGUAUUCAAUUGUCAGAGGUGAAAUUCUUGGAUUUAUUGAAGACUAACUACUGCGAAAGCAUUUGCCAAGGAUGUUUUCAUUAAUCAAGAACGAAAGUUAGGGGAUCGAAGACGAUCAGAUACCGUCGUAGUCUUAACCAUAAACUAUGCCGACUAGGGAUCGGAUGAUGUUAAUUUUUUAAUGACUCAUUCGGCGCCUUACG